UACAGUACAUGUAUAACAUUUUAAGCUAAAUAUUUUUUAAAAAUCAAUCAUAUGUAUGCAUCAUUUUCUAUAUGUACUAGUUUGCAGUGUGUGCAGACUGAUGCUGGCACCAUCACCUUUAUCAAUAAGGGGAAGAGGACAGAGCAUGUAUUGGAUUCAUUAUAUUGCUUAUCUGAUUCUGUGUGCAUUGUUUGUUCACUGCAGGUGCUAGUGCAGGGCUGCCAGCUAGAUCGGACCGACUUGGAUCAGUUCUUGCUCCAGAUUUAUCAGUAGCUGCGCUCUGUGGAGAACAUUGCAGAGGUGUGGCAGAGGACAGGUGAGUCACUGCACAGGCCGCAAACCCUGUCUGAAAAUCUUCUUGAUUCUCUCAGCGAAUACAACCCUCUAUUGUCCACUUUCUCAUCUGCUGUGCUAACUGCUGUUUCUUAGGCACUCUCGCAUUCUGGUUUUCCAUUAUUCGCUCCAUACGUGUGGCUCUCAAUGCCACAUGUAGCAAUGUUUUCCUAAUACGUGUUUUCAGUAUGACGGAACCAUUUUGUCCUCUGGUCUGGUAAUGGAGGAUCUGCCGCACAGGAAGCUGGGUGUUUCCAUGGUAACAGCUGAUGUGGGGCUGGUUUGUAUGGUCCACCAGGGAAUCCUGGCUCUGCAGCUGCUGCCCGCAAACUCCAGUGCAGAAUCCGUCUGGCUGAAGGGUUUCAUUUUGCGGCCAGUGGAGAAGGAAUUGUCAAUAUGGUGAUGGAGCUGCCGAUGAAGAGCACGUUUGGUGAUGGGGAUGGCGAGACCCACACCAGCAUCAUACAGUACACCCUUUUCCCUCCCCACUCAACCUCCACCAAGGACAGCUUCUCCACAGACGAUAACAGUGACACAGAGGUGGAGGCGAUAGAGAUGGAUGCCAAGCUGAACCUGGUGACUGACUGCUGGGUGGAGCCUCAGAGUGACACCGUUUUCACCACCUCUGAGAAUCGCAGUUACCUCCAAGGAUUGCCCUAUCAGGAGAUACCUCAAGCGGCUGACAGGUGGAGACCUCUUCUUCAAACUCCCUGACCCACACAAGCAGGCAGUGCUGGCCACCAUGGAUGAGAUCUCCAUGACAGUCACAUCUGUAACUCCUUGCUGGUUGCAGAGAGUGAGGAAGACAUCUGGAAACACCUACAGGAAGCAAACAGCACCACUGAUGUGCUGACAGCCUGAUGAAUCAAUAUUUUAACAUGGCAGUAUAGUCUUUACAGAAAACCAAGACUUACAGAAAAAACAACCUUUCCAGAUGUUUCUUUCCAGAGUUGGAAACGGUUGAGACUGCUCAGCACUCAGUGAUGGGAGAGACGAGACUUUCUGUCCAAUGAGCUCCUGGUCAAAAAACACAAGGAUCUGUCCAACUAAUGACAGUAUUUAUAGACUUCUGUCCAAAGAACUACCUUUUUACAAAGCUUUAAUAACACCAAGUAUAUAUGUGAUUCAGACAUGUCAUGAGAUGUACUGCUUAUGUGUAGAUGAUGAUAUACAUUUUCUGUUGCAAAAAUAAUUUUGGAUAAUCCCUUUAUUGCAGAUUAUUCAGAAGGUGAGAGUUACCAGCCUAGAGAUUACCUGGCAGCCACUAUGCAGUUCAUCCCAGGUCAUUUUGCCUGCAAGGUUGUGUAGAGCACCAUUUACAUUCACCCACGACUCAAAAUGAGGCCCAACAUGGGCGUCAGUCGAGGUACGUCACAGUGCUCUAAAACUGGGAUUUAAGAGACUACCUACCCCAAGUCUAAAGGGUCUUAUUUGGUUUUACUACUAGAAGCUAAAUUCACAUAGCUGAAACCCUUUGUUAAAACCCAUAGAAACAGCACAUAAUGAAAACAAAUAGCAUUUUUUAUUAUUAUUAUUAAUCUUGACCAAAAGACCUUAUUGAAUGACAAAGUACAUAUUUGUUGAGGCUCUAGUCCCCAAGGUGGUCUCUGUUUAAUUAUGCAGUUAAAGUAAUUUGCAUGCAGAUGGUAAGUUCGCCAAUGUUUGCGCUUCCUGUUCUACCAUUUGUUCAGGCCUGAUUCAGUCCUUUGAGAAUAAGAUAAAACAUUGAAGUUUCUGUGCUGUGAUUUAGAUCUGUUUGUCUCUUCUUUUCAUGUGUUAUUUUUCAGAUAUAAACAAAUGUAUAAUUCAUAAUGCUGUAUUCUAAAACAGGAAUAACAGUAGUCAUAAGUGUGUGUGUAUUAACCCUAAUAAGGAUGUCAGUAUUUCUACAGCGAUCCAUGCUCUUCGCUCAGUGCUGAAUGCCUUCUGUGUUGUGAAUAGGAAGAAUAUGUUUGUGUACCAGGAGCAUACUACCAAAUCUGUUUUCUACCUCAGGUUAGCAUUAAUACUGAUCAAGUGUUGUUGUUUUUAUUUUUCCUUCACUUCACAUGUAGACCACCACUCUCCUAGGGAAAUAAAUAAAUCAGAUCAGGCUCCUGAAUUGAAAAACAUUUUAUCUUAACUAUAUGUUUGCAAGGAGCUUAACAUAAAUGUCCGAAACUUUGAUGUUCAGCCUUAAUUGCACAGAAGUAUAUUGUUAGUUUAUUUCCAACAGGCUGUCGGAGAUGGUGCUCAUUGGGAAGUUUUCAGAGUUGCAUGACAACCCCCACCUUCGUCUCGCUCGCUGGCUCUGACACGCAGCCAGGAGCCCCUCUACUCGGAAGACGUGUUGGUAACACAGUCGCACUUUCCUGCACUCUGCUUCAGCUUUAGUUCGUGGAAAUGGUUUUAAUAUUCUUGGAUGUGUGUGGAGCCCAAGCAUUUCAUUAUCAGUCUUGUGUUUCACAAGCAAUUUACAAUGUCCGUCUAGUUUUCCCACUUAUCCCACUGUGUGUCCCACGACGAGUCGGGGACGAGGGGAGCAUUCAAACUGGAAGGACCUGAGAGCAAUGAGUGAGGCAGAGAAGGGGUGGCACCUUUAUCUCAUUGCAUUUAGAAAUGGGGUCUGAAGUAAAAUGCAGGGGUCAGCACAUUGAAAAACAGGCGCUGAUUUGUCAAAAUAGAGAAACUCUAAAGUUGGUAGAAAUCUGCGUCAGCAUUUCUCUGCCACAUGUAAUCUAGGUGCACAGUCGUCAGUUGUUGGUUGAAUUUAAGCAGUCUGCAGUGUGCAUGCUUCUUUAAAUGCUUAUGGUGUAGUACAACUUGAGGCACACAAGGGGGCAGUCUUACUCCAGUGAAACUCACCAAAACAGUGAAAGAAUAUUAUGGCACAUUAUUGAAUUAAAUCUCCUCAUUGCAGAAAAAUAUAUAUAUCCUGUGAAUCUUGUAUGUUGUGCAGUUAGCUGAUUGCACAAACAGUGAGUAUGCUGUUAUAUCUUGGACUUCUACUCCUUCCCCCCCCCACACCCACACCCACACCCACACAGAGCCAGAGAUCACAGACAAGCUGUUGAAGGUUCUUCAAAAGCAUUUGGACGAGGCGACGCUUGACAUUAUCACUGUGAUGUUAGUCAGGCACUGCAAACUGACACCUGCGGACGUGGAGAUAAAGGUCAUGCUGUUUCAUCCAUACAAGCCGCUGUUUUAAAAUAAUAAUAAUAAUAAUAAUAAUAAAUUAUAUAAUAUA